GUAAAAGGUCCUAACCACAGGGGAGCGAUUCGGUAGGCGGGUUCGAGAGGAUGAUUCGCCACAUUGGACUGAGAACACCGCCCAGAUCCUACGGAGGCAGCAGUUGGGGAAUAUUCGACAAUGGGGGAGCCUGAUCCAGCCAUGCCGCGUGAUUUGAAGAAGCUUUAUGGUUUGUUAAAGCACUUUAAGCGGAGGAGGAGGCUACCUUUAGGUUAAUACCUAGAGACUAGUGGACGUUACUCGCAGAAAUAAGCACCGGGCUAACUCUGUGCCCAGCAGCCGCGGUAAUACAGAGGGGUGCGAGCGUUAAUCGGAUUUACUGGGCGUAAAGCGUGCGUAGGCGGCUUAUUAAGUCGGAUGUGAAAUCCCCGAGCUUAACUUGGGAAUUGCAUUCGAAUACUGGUGAGCUAGAGUAUGGGAGAGGGAUGGUAGAUUUCCCAGGUGUAGCGGUGAAAAUGCGUAGAGAUCUGGAGGAAUACCGAUGGCGAAGGCAGCCAUCUGGCCUAAUACUGACGCUGAGGUACGAAAGCAUGGGGAGCAAACAGGAUUAGAUACCCUGGUAGUCCACGCCGUAAACGAUGUCUACUAGCCGUUGGGGCCUUUGAGGCUUUAGUGGCGCAGCUAACGCGAUAAGUAGACCGCCUGGGGAGUACGGUCGCAAGACUAAAACUCAAAUGAAUUGACGGGGGCCCGCACAAGCGGUGGAGCAUGUGGUUUAAUUCGAUGCAACGCGAAGAACCUUACCUGGCCUUGACAUACUAGAAACUUUCCAGAGAUGGAUUGGUGCCUUCGGGAAUCUAGAUACAGGUGCUGCAUGGCUGUCGUCAGCUCGUGUCGUGAGAUGUUGGGUUAAGUCCCGCAACGAGCGCAACCCUUUUCCUUACUUGCCAGCAUUUCGGAUGGGAACUUUAAGGAUACUGCCAGUGACAAACUGGAGGAAGGCGGGGACGACGUCAAGUCAUCAUGGCCCUUACGGCCAGGGCUACACACGUGCUACAAUGGUCGGUACAAAGGGUUGCUACACAGCGAUGUGAUGCUAAUCUCAAAAAGCCGAUCGUAGUCCGGAUUGGAGUCUGCAACUCGACUCCAUGAAGUCGGAAUCGCUAGUAAUCGCGGAUCAGAAUGCCGCGGUGAAUACGUUCCCGGGCCUUGUACACACCGCCCGUCACACCAUGGGAGUUUGUUGCACCAGAAGUAGCUAGCCUAACCUGCAAAGAGGGCACGGGA
rnacentral:rRNA from 1 species